UCUAUCAGACAGAAUAGAGAGUUGGGUCAUAUUCAGUAGGCACAAAAUGUAAGAAAGUACCUCCCUGGAAAGAACAGCUAUCUGAACAAGUAACUCAUUUUCUGUUGCCAAAACAUUUUGCUAUGGUGUGCCCUGAUGGUGGAGCAGGAGCAGUAAAUCAAUGUGAUUUAUGAGAUGCAUGGAUCUGGUGAGGCUACUGGGGUACAAGAUUGGGAGCGUGCUAUGGAAUUCUGCUGCAGACAGUUGCGUGUGGCCAGGUCUCUGUGGACAAAGUGCUGGGAGGCCAGGUAGACCAUGCCUGCAGCAAUCUGCUGGGCGAUGUGCAGCAUCUGGGACUGGGUCAGCUCCACCAUCAGGCUGUGCUGCCCAUCAGCCAUCAGCACCAUGUCAGGACCAUGGGACCUGCACCACAACACAGACACAGGAAGAAUGGACACCGGGACACAGGACGGUACCUGAGAAACUUGUUGAGGUCGCCGUGCUUCAUGUACUCGAACACCAUGAUGAGCGGGUCGCUGUCCACACACACGCCGUAGAAGGUGAC